AACGAACGCUGGCGGCAGGCCUAACACAUGCAAGUCGAACGAGAUCUUCGGAUCUAGUGGCGGACGGGUGAGUAACGCGUGGGAACGUGCCCUUCUCUACGGAAUAGCCAUUGGAAACGAUGAGUAAUACCGUAUACGCCCUUCGGGGAAAGAUUUAUCGGAGAAGGAUCGGCCCGCGUUAGAUUAGAUAGUUGGUGGGGUAACGGCCUACCAAGUCUACGAUCUAUAGCUGGUUUUAGAGGAUGAUCAGCAACACUGGGACUGAGACACGGCCCAGACUCCUACGGGAGGCAGCAGUGGGGAAUCUUAGACAAUGGGCGCAAGCCUGAUCUAGCCAUGCCGCGUGUGUGAUGAAGGCCCUAGGGGUAAAGCACUUUCGCCAGGGAUGAUAAUGACAGUACCUGGUAAAGAACCCCGGCU
rnacentral:rRNA from 1 species